rnacentral:rRNA from 1 species
AUUGAACGCUGGCGGAAUGCUUUACACAUGCAAGUCGAACGGCAGCACGGACUUCGGUCUGGUGGCGAGUGGCGAACGGGUGAGUAAUAUAUCGGAACGUAUCCAAUAAUGGGGGAUAACUAAUCGAAAGGUUGGCUAAUACCGCAUACGCCCUACGGGGGAAAGCUAGGGACCUUCGGGCCUGGCGUUAAUGGAGCGGCUGAUAUCUGAUUAGCUAGUUGGUGAGGUAAAGGGACUCACCAAGGCGACGAUCAGUAGCUGGUCUGAGAGGACGACCAGCACACUGGAACUGAGACACGGUCCAGACUCCUACGGAGGCAGCAGUGGGGAAUUUUGGUACAAUGGGGGCGAACCCUGAUCCAGCAAUGCCGCGUGAGUGAAGAAGGCC